rnacentral:rRNA from 1 species
GAGUUUGAUCCUGGCUCAGGACGAACGCUGGCGGCAUGCCUAAUACAUGCAAGUCGAACGCCAAAUCUUCCUGCUUGCAGGAAGAGGCGGAGUGGCGAACGGGUGAGUAACACGUGAGGAACUUGCCCAUAAGAGGGGGAUAACACCCGGAAACGGGUGCUAAUACCGCAUAGGUUUGCCCAGUGCAUGCUGGGAAAAUAAAAGGUGGCUCUGGUACCGCUUAUGGAUAGCCUCGCGGCGCAUUAGCUAGUUGGUAAGGUAAAGGCCUACCAAGGCCAUGAUGCGUAGCCGACUUGAGAGGGUGAUCGGCCACACUGGAACUGAGACACGGUCCAGACUCCUACGGGAGGCAGCAGUAGGGAAUCUUCCACAAUGGGUGCAAGCCUGAUGGAGCAAUGCCGCGUGAGUGAAGAAGGACUUCGGUUCGUAAAGCUCUGUUGUUGGGGAAGAACACGGAUAGGAGUCACUGCCUAUCCCUUGACGGUACCCAACCAGAAAGUCACGGCUAACUACGUGCCAGCAGCCGCGGUAAUACGUAGGUGACAAGCGUUGUCCGGAUUUAUUGGGCGUAAAGCGAGCGCAGGCGGUCCGGUAAGUCUGAUGUGAAAGCCCACGGCUCAACCGUGGAACGGCAUUGGAAACUGGCGGACUUGAAUGUAGCAGAGGAAAGUGGAAUUCCAUGUGUAGCGGUGGAAUGCGUAGAUAUAUGGAGGAACACCAGUGGCGAAAGCGACUUUCUGGGCUAUGAUUGACGCUGAGGCUCGAAAGCGUGGGGAGCGAACAGGAUUAGAUACCCUGGU